GACGAACGCUGGCGGCGUGCUUAACACAUGCAAGUCGAACGGAAAGGCCCUGCUUUUGUGGGGUGCUCGAGUGGCGAACGGGUGAGUAACACGUGAGUAACCUGCCCUUGACUUUGGGAUAACUUCAGGAAACUGGGGCUAAUACCGGAUAGGAGCUCCUGCUGCAUGGUGGGGGUUGGAAAGUUUCGGCGGUUGGGGAUGGACUCGCGGCUUAUCAGCUUGUUGGUGGGGUAGUGGCUUACCAAGGCUUUGACGGGUAGCCGGCCUGAGAGGGUGACCGGCCACAUUGGGACUGAGAUACGGCCCAGACUCCUACGGGAGGCAGCAGUGGGGAAUAUUGCACAAUGGGCGGAAGCCUGAUGCAGCAACGCCGCGGGCGGUAUGACGGCCUUCGGGGUGUAAACCGCUUUCGCCUGUGACGAAGCGUGAGUGACGGUAAUGGGUAAAGAAGCACCGGCUAACUACGUG
rnacentral:rRNA from 1 species